GGCCUAACUCCCGAGCUCUGGGUUUGCUUUCCUCUAGGGUGUGGCUCCAAUGCCAGAAGCUGAAGGGCUGAGGAGACUGCUCAUCCAGUAGAGGUGCUGGCUGCCGGGCCGGUGGACCGAGCUUGAUCCUUGGGACCUAGAUGACGUAAGAAGACGAGCCUUAGACGUGAUAUUUUCAUCAGCACGAUCUAACGCGAACGAUUGAAGGCUGAGACUUGUGCUGGUCAUUCUGCUCGCCUCUGCAGCCACACCCAACCAGAAGCAACUCCGAGGAGCAGUGGCAGCAGAAGGGGUGGCAGGGGCAGCAGGGGCAGCAGGGGCAGGAGGGGAAGAUGGAGGGGCAGCAAGGGCGG
rnacentral:lncRNA from 1 species